GCCAAAUCAUUUUUGAAAGUUCAGUGAAGCUGGAUAAGGGAGUUGAGCGAACUUUAAAAAACAAGUAGCCACAACUACAUGGGCAUGAAGUUCAGUCAACUCAAAGCUUUGCAGCUGGUUGCCUUGUUUUUAAGUUGAUUCAACUUUUUCAUCUUUUAAUUUAGCUAUGAAUAAUCUUGCAUCCAUAUUUCUCAGCCAUGCUGUAAAACAAUACAAAAGACUAUGCCAUCACUACAGAAAAUAUUUAUUCACAAUGUCACAUUGAGGCCCCUUAAGAGGCAAAAUAACACUUUCCUCUCUUCUUGGAAUGCUUUUAAAGUGAUUUUACAGUCUUAAAGUGCUAUAUCUAUGAACAAGACUUCAGGAUUCUAAAAAUUGCAACAAAUGUGUUUGAGCAAUCCAGUUUUACAACUGUAAAAACAACAUUUAAGGUUCAUUACAUUAAAAUUGAAAAUAUUUCCUCUUUUGACACUUACGGAAACAUCAGAUGGAACAACAGGAACAGCUUAGUGCUUUCCCUUAUCCAUAUCCAGCUAUUUAGACACUGACAGUUUGUUUUUGAAGGACUGGACUCUUGCUGAGCACUGGGGGUCAAGACCAAUAAACCGUUCUUUAGGAUAGUUCAUGUUCAGGGCAUAAAUCAAGCCAAAGAGAAGAGCCAUAGCAGUGGGAAGGUCUUGCACGAUAUGCUCCUCUAGAACCACAGACCGGCACCUUACAUUUGAGUUUGAGUGGAUGGUCGCAACGUCAUCUUCAACGAUGGUUACGAUCCCCAUCUUUAUUCCCUUCUGUAUGAUUUUCUUCUGGCUCGGUGUCCUGCAAGUCUUAAGGAAAUUUUCAGAC